rnacentral:tRNA from 1 species
GGUUGUCUAGCUUAGUUGGUAGAGCGUGAAGCUCUUAACCUUAUGGUUGUGGGUUCGAGCCUCACGGUGGGUG